rnacentral:rRNA from 1 species
GCCUGAUGCAGCAACGCCGCGUGAGGGACGACGGCCUAUAGGGUUGUAAACCUCUUUUAGCAGGGAAGAAGCGAAAGUGACGGUACCUGCAGAAAAAGCACCGGCUAACUACGUGCCAGCAGCCGCGGUAAUACGUAGGGUGCAAGCGUUAUCCGGAAUUAUUGGGCGUAAAGAGCUCGUAGGCGGUUUGUCGCGUCUGCUGUGAAAACUGGGGGCUCAACCCCCAGCCUGCAGUGGGUACGGGCAGACUAGAGUGCGGUAGGGGAGAUUGGAAUUCCUGGUGUAGCGGUGGAAUGCGCAGAUAUCAGGAGGAACACCGAUGGCGAAGGCAGAUCUCUGGGCCGUAACUGACGCUGAGGAGCGAAAGGGUGGGGAGCAAACAGGCUUAGAUACCCUGGUAGUCCACCCCGUAAACGUUGGGAACUAGUUGUGGGGUCCAUUCCACGGAUUCCGUGACGCAGCUAACGCAUUAAGUUCCCCGCCUGGGGAGUACGGCCGCAAGGCUAAAACUCAAAGGAAUUGACGGGGACCCGCACAAGCGGCGGAGCAUGCGGAUUAAUUCGAUGCAACGCGAAGAACCUUACCAAGGCUUGACAUAUACGAGAACGCUGCAGAAAUGUAGAACUCUUUGGACAC